rnacentral:sRNA from 1 species
GCUGGGUGCAGUAGCGCACACCUGUAAUCCCAGUGGCUCAGGAGGCUGAGGCAAGAGGAUCACGAGAGUUCAAGGCCAGCCUCAGUAAAAUAGAGGUGCUAAGCAACUCAAUGAGACCCUGUCUCUA